GGUGCCGUAGCCAAGCGGUAAGGCAGAGGUCUGCAAAACCUCUAUGCACCAGUUCAAAUCUGGUCGGCACCUCCA
rnacentral:tRNA from 10 species